rnacentral:SRP_RNA from 1 species
GCCGGGCACGGUGGCGCACGCCUGUAGUCCCAGCUACUCCGGAGGCUGAGACAGGAGGAUUGCUUGAGUCCAGGAGUUCUGGGCUGUAGUGCGGAUCAGGUGUCCGCACUAAGUUCGGCAUCAAUAUGGUGACAUCCCGGGGACAGGGCACCACCAGGUUGCCUAAGGAGGGGUGAACCGGUUCAGGUCAGAAACGGAGCAGGUAAAAAUUCCCCGGGCUGAUCAGUAGUGGGAUCGCGCCUGUGAAUAGCCACUGCACUCCAGCCUGGGCAACACAGCGAGAACCCGUCUCUU